rnacentral:rRNA from 1 species
GAUGAACGCUGGCGGCGUGCCUAACACAUGCAAGUCGAGCGAACAGACCAUGAGCUUGCUCCGCGGACGUUAGCGGCGGGCGGGUGAGUAACACGUGGAUAACCUCCCUAUAAUACUGGGAUAACCUCGGGAAACGGGCUCUUAUCCCGUAGAAUAUCUUGAACCACGGUGGUCAUUGGUGAAAUUCGGCUUUUGUGUCACUAAUCGCUGGAUCUGCGCCGCAUUGGCUAGUUGGUAAGGUACCGGCUUAUCAAGGCAACGAUGCGUAACCGACCUGAGAGGGUGAUCGGCCACACUGGGACUGAGACACGGUACAGACUCCUACGGGAGGCAGCAGUAGGGAUUCUUCCGCCAAGGGCGAAAGACUGACGGAGCAACGCCGCGUGAAUGAUGAAGGUCUUCGGAUCGGAAAACUCUGUUAUUAGGGAAGAACAAAUGUGUAAGUAACUAUGCACGUCUUGACGGUACAUAAGCAGAAAGCCACGGCUAACUACGUG